GAUCCAAACACAGGCAAAGCAAGAGAUUCCUGCCUUAACACUGGCAAAGAGAUCCCUGCGAUCCUUCUCUGAUCAGCCACUGGAUUCCCCCUCAGUCUGUGAGCCAGAAGCUCGGGAACCAGCUGCAUGGCCCCCCAGGGCCAGGCUCUUGGGGAAUGGAGCUGAGAACCCGCCUUCCUUUCUCAGCAUCAAGAGAAACAGACUUUUCCCGCUGACCUUCUAAGUUGUCUUUGGCAUUAGUUGAUUGAGGAGUCUGGAAACCUCUACAGCUGCCUGUGAUUCACUCCUCUGAGGCCUGCUCCAGGUUCCCUGCAGCCUGAGCACCCAAGCUGAGCUGCAUUCCCAGCCUGGCGUGAUACACCUUUCUGAUCAAUCUUCCAGGGAACCACCAUCAUGCCAUUGCUGUCUUCUAUUCUGUAUGAUGAUGAAGAGUUCCCUAAUCCAGACCAGUUUGACCCAGGUCACUUCCUGGAUGAAAGUGGCAACUUUAAGAAGAGCGACUAUUUUCAUGCCUUUUUCAACAGGAAAAUGGAUAUGUGCUGGUGAGAGUCUGGCUUGGAUGGAAUUAUUUCUGUUUUUUACUACAUCUUACAAAAUUUUACCUUGAAAUCUCCCAUUGACUCAAAAGAUAUCAACAACACCUCAGUUGCCAGUGGAUUAAUCAAAGUACCCCCUUGUAUGAGCUCUGCUUUCUCGCUUUCUAAAACAUGUGAAGGACUAGCCCUAGUUCCAACUGCUCUAGAGUCUCCUCACAUUCUAUGACAAGAUGUAUUCAUUCCAUUGCCUGCCAAUGAAAGCCCUCUAUGAUUUCAGUCCAAUAUACUCUUCUAGCAUAAUCUAAUACUCCCUUUGACUUUUGCCAAAAUCACAAUUUAAUUUUCCUCAACCUUCCUUAGAAAUUCCCUGUUGCAGGAAUAUUUCUUCUUUUUUCUUCACUUCAACUCCUCUUGUUGCCCACAACCAGAUUGUACACUGAACGGAGAGGCGUGAAAUAACUUAUGACAUGGGCCAGGUGGAGUAGAAUUACUGACUCUGUUUAUUCAUCUGAGGGCACAGAAUAUAUAGGGAAAAUCUAGCCUAACUUCAAAGAGUCCUCCCCGUGAGAUACUCCCCAGAAUAUCUGCUGAGGAUGUAACAAUAAUGAAUUUCCUCCUUAUCAGGGUUCCUAGAUUGGGCUGUAGAUUCCAAGGUUUUCCCAGGCACCUAGGCGCCACCUGCAUAGAGGAGUAAAUAUGUAAACCUAAGGUUCAAAGAGAGAGAAGGGAUGUCUCAGAGACCUCUUUAUCAGGAAGGAAUUUGGGGAGCCGUACCACUUAAUCCCCUGAGCCCUUUGGGAUGAAAGCCUGAGCAGAGGUCAAACUCUGCCUUGGAUCUUAAACCCUUAUCAGACUCUUAAGAUCGGCCCUCAACAUCCACUGACAGAAAUCUCACCCACCCUUCUAAUCACAAUUUAGGUGCCAUAUCCCUGUGAUCUCUUUAGUUCUUAUAGUCUGUAUAAUUCAAUCUAAGCCUGAAUUACACAUAUGCAUCUUACGUUGUGUGUUCUUUCCGACAUGUUUAUUGAUCCUCUUGUGUUCCUCACCAAAUCUUAAGAUUCUUUUUAGUAG
rnacentral:lncRNA from 1 species